UACGUAGGGUGCGAGCGUUGUCCGGAAUUAUUGGGCGUAAAGAGCUUGUAGGCGGUUUGUCGCGUCUGCUGUGAAAAUCCGGGGCUCAACCCCGGACUUGCAGUGGGUACGGGCAGACUAGAGUGUGGUAGGGGAGACUGGAAUUCCUGGUGUAGCGGUGAAAUGCGCAGAUAUCAGGAGGAACACCGAUGGCGAAGGCAGGUCUCUGGGCCACUACUGACGCUGAGAAGCGAAAGUAUGGGGAGCGAACAGGAUUAGAUACCCG
rnacentral:rRNA from 1 species